AUUCAUAAUAUUUGAAUAAUAUUAUUAGAUAGCAUUAUUAGCAAUAUCUAGAAAGUUCUGUCAAGGAAGGUUUGGUCACCUAAUUACGCGCCAGUAAGGAGAAAUCCUUAUUGGAAAGCCCCCUCUUUCCUAGAAAACGGCCUGAUUGUCAUAAUUAUGAUUCUGUAAUAUUAUUUAUAAAUAAUUAAUUAUUAAUUUAUAUGAUAAGGAAAUAUAUUUUUUAUAUGGUUAUAAAUGAAGAAAUUAAUGCUGAGGUGUUUUAUUAGUAUUUUGCCGAAAUGAAGAACGAAAUUUGGAAAUUUUCAGAAAAUUAGUUUAUUACUUGAUUUUGUAAAAUCUAUAACUCUUUGUAUAUAAUGAGUUAGGAGAUGAUCCAUGUAUAAAAAGAAAGCCCUGGAGGUAAGCUAAAUGUAGAAAUUUGAAUCACCCAAAAAAUUCAUUGUGGAUUUUUCGUGGUGACUGUUUGAAUGAAACUGGUCCGAAGGACUCAUAAUUCGAAAAAUCAGUGUUCUUAAGUUAUAUUGCG
rnacentral:lncRNA from 1 species